ACCACUGAGAUUAGUAUUUGCAUAAGAUGUAGAUAAUUAAUUAGAUAAAAUGUAAAUUAAAAUCUUCUCAUACAGAUCAAGUCUAGCAGUCUUCCACCAUUGUACUUGUGCGGAUAUCUUUCUGGUAUUGAUUGUUUUCAGGUGGAUACAGUGGUUCAGUUGCAUCAGAGGGAGUAACAACUUUAUUAGCAUAAGAUGCUGUAGAAUAAAAAUGAGGUUGGGCUCAAUAUCUGUUAGAUGAGGGACUCAAUGAUAGCUUUGUACUUGUGUUGAACGGUGGAUUUGACUUAACUAAGAAAUGGGGUCAAUAUCUAUCAGGUGAGAUCUUCAUGACUUA
rnacentral:lncRNA from 1 species